UGAUGCCAUGACAGAGCGUGAGGGCUCCU
rnacentral:piRNA from 1 species